UACGAAGGGUGCAAGCGUUACUCGGAAUUACUGGGCGUAAAGCGUGCGUAGGCGGUUUGUUAAGUCCGCUGUGAAAGCCCCGGGCUUAACCCGGGAAUUGCGUUUGAUACUGUUGGGCUUGAGACCGGGAGAGGAUAGCGGAAUUCCCAGUGUAGAGGUGAAAUUCGUAGAUAUUGGGAAGAACACCAGUGGCGAAGGCGGCUAUCUGGACCGGUACUGACGCUGAGGUGCGAAAGCGUGGGGAGCAAACAGG
rnacentral:rRNA from 1 species